rnacentral:rRNA from 1 species
UACGGAGGAUCCAAGCGUUAUCCGGAUUUAUUGGGUUUAAAGGGUGCGUAGGCGGAAUAAUAAGUCAGUGGUGAAAUCCUACAGCUUAACUGUAGAAUUGCCGUUGAUACUGUUGUUCUUGAGUAUAGUUGAAGUGGGCGGAAUGUGUCGUGUAGCGGUGAAAUGCUUAGAUAUGACACAGAACACCGAUUGCGAAGGCAGCUCACUAAACUGUAACUGACGCUGAGGCACGAAAGCGUGGGUAGCGAACAGG